rnacentral:rRNA from 1 species
CAGUCGCCACGGUAAUACAGAGGGUGCGAGCGUUAAUCGGAUUUACUGGGCGUAAAGCGUGCGUAGGCGGCUAAUUGAGUCGGAUGUGAAAUCCCUGAGCUUAACUUAGGAAUUGCAUUCGAUACUGGGAAGCUAGAGUAUGGGAGAGGAUGGUAGAAUUCCAGGUGUAGCGGUGAAAUGCGUAGAGAUCUGGAGGAAUACCGAUGGCGAAGGCAGCCAUCUGGCCUAAUACUGACGCUGAGGUACGAAAGCAUGGGGAGCAAACAGGAUUAGAUACCCCCGUAGUCCCUGUCUCUUAUAC